rnacentral:rRNA from 1 species
UACGUAGGGUGCAAGCGUUGUCCGGAAUUAUUGGGCGUAAAGAGCUCGUAGGCGGUCUGUUGCGUCGGCUGUGAAAACCCGAGGCUCAACCUCGGGCCUGCAGCCGAUACGGGCAGACUAGAGUUCGGCAGGGGAGACUGGAAUUCCUGGUGUAGCGGUGGAAUGCGCAGAUAUCAGGAGGAACACCGGUGGCGAAGGCGGGUCUCUGGGCAGUAACUGACGCUGAGGAGCGAAAGCGUGGGGAGCGAACAGG